GCCCCGAAUAAAAGACCUUUCGGGACUUCGCGUUGCGAAAGUGCGCGGUGCUCGGAGCCUCUGCCCAGGGAUGGUGUACUGCUGAAGGCAUAAAAUAAAACUGAAAUUAAAAAAAAAAAAAAAGGAUAGUAAAAAUACAUAUGUUUCCAAACUCUAACAUCUCGAAAUAACGUUAACCGCUUCCCAUCCAAAUCACAGCUCCCAACAUCCAAAAGGUGCCCGGUUCCCCUUCACCACCACCGCACACCGCAGGCCGAACCCCGUCGGGCUGCCCCGAGCCCUCCGCCCCCGCCGCACGCAAAGCGGAGCCGCCCCGGGCUCACAGCGGCUCCGGGAGGGCACCGCGACGCUCCCGACUCCGCGGCUGCAGCGGGGGCAGAGCGGCGUGCGGGAUCCCUGGCGCAGAAAUCCCAACGAAGCCAAUGGGAGCCUGGACGUGGCUCUUUCUUCGUAUUGGGGACAACGUAAUAAAGAUCGGAGCCGCUCAUUUUACAUUAAGAUUAAUUCACUAUCACAAAGAUCACAAAGAACGCAAAGAUCACGAAGAUCACAAAGAUCGCCAAGAUCGCUAAGAUCACAAAGCAGUUGCGUUUUUCUCAGUGAAAUCAAAAUGCCUUCGGACUGCACCAGGGGCUGUCAUUGCGGCUUUCGUGCCCUCCCGUUCCAGGUUGAGCUGUUGGGCUGCACAGGACCAAGCGCAGAGCGGUGCCUGGGGCAGGGCAGAGCUCCCCACGCCUGCAUUUCCAAGAACACAAAUCCUGGCAGUUUUUAUACUUAAGUACAUGCAAGUAAUUAAAAAAAAAAAAAAAAAAAAAAAAAAAAGCUUGAUACAAUGCUGGAACCUCUCCAAAAAGAUCAGGCAUCUGAACUGAACUAAACAAUUCGAGGCAGCCCAUUUGUAUUUGUGCUGGUUUUAUGUCAGAGGAGCCACGACAAAUUUGUACUGGCGCAAGAUAUGUUGGAACAAGCUAAAUAGGUGCUAAAGUCGUGGCUAUGCAAAG
ensembl:lncRNA